AAGUCGUAACAAGGUUUCCGUAGGUGAACCUGCGGAAGGAUCAUUACAGAGUUCAUGCCCUUCGGGGUAGAUCUCCCACCCUUGAAUAUUAUACCUUAGUUGCUUUGGCAGGCCGGGCAACCCCCCGGGCUCAGGCCUGGGAGUGCCUGCCAGAGGAAAACAAACUCUGUUUUUAGUGAUGUCUGAGUACUAUAUAAUAGUUAAAA
rnacentral:misc_RNA from 1 species